AGGCUCUCUGCUGAGACCAGGCAGACAGGGAAGAGACAGGAGAAAAUGCCAGGGCUCCAGCUGUACAUGGAAGCUUUUCUAAAGUAGCUGGAGCUGAGAACAAAGGGAGAUGUAAGAUCUGUGACACGUGGUGAGCCUUCAGUCUCCAGAAAGAAGAGGUUGCGCUGUUGAAGGCCCUCUGCUGUCCUGACUGCUGAGACCCAGCCCAGUGCUGCCCUGAACUGGCUGUGUGACCUGAAGCCAAUCACUUCACCUCUCUGGUCUCAGUGUCCUCAUUGUCAGAAUGGAGAUAACAAUGCUCAUGGCUGAGGGGCGCAUUGUCAGGCACGUCUGAUCUGGCCAACUCUCCCUUCCCUCAGUACAGCCUUUCAGCACAUUUGGCCGCAUCUGCUGACUGUGAAGCCAGAUUGGACCCUGGGAGCGUAAGAAGCACCCACCUCUGUUGGACUGAGAGUUUCUUGAAGCAGGGCCAGCUCCGUUCCUCUUUGAGGUGCCCCCUUCCUCUUCCGCAGGGCCGAGCCUACAACAAGUGCCCGGCACACAGACGUGUGGGACAGACAUCCCACGUGGGUACAGACAGACGUGAGUGCGGAGCUGGCCCCUCUCUCCUGAUGUCCCAUUUAUUUUGUGUCAUGUAAGGACAUUGUUUCUGAAACUGUCGCUCAGAGAUCUAAAUUUAGACUUGCCAGGAGCCAUUCUGCCAGGAAUGGGUCUGAAAUAUAGUCCUCAAGGCUUGCCUUUCUUGGGCUCUCAGAGUCACCACCAAAUAGCCAAGUCAGGGCAGCGUUCAGCUCAGAGUCUUGGAGGAGGGUCUGGUUGAGCGCGGACUGCUUGUACCACCACCCGGCUGCCUGGGAGGCCUCGCGCCCCGGUGAUCCCGCAGGCUAGCCUGGCAUCCCGUGGCCAUGCCCCCAAUGUGCGUGCUUCCUAGCCUACCUGUCCUGCCCUCCUGGCCCUCAGGGCCGCCUAGAUGCUCGUCUCAAGGACUGCCAAUGACAUGGCAGCUCAGAUGCACUUCUUGUAUCUGGAGUUGAGAACUAAGGAGGUUUCUCUGCCAACGCCUCGCAGGUGACCCGGUCACAAAAGCCAGCGGAGAGUUACGGCUAUCUUGGGGUCACGUAUCCAAAGCUCCAACUUUCCCCUGAUUAUUUGAGUGACACAAUGAAGACAUUAACACCUAAUAUAGGAAAUAGCCUGCCCGAAGGACCAGAUUAAUUACUCUAAUCCUCCAUUCCCCAUUUUCAGUGAGGAUCUGGUUUCAGUCAGUCAUGUAGUAAGUGGCACCAGAUUAAUCUGGGCAGGGAGAGUCAAACGAUACAGACAGAGGUGAUGCAUGCGGAGGGCUAACGAGAAAACAGAGCAGUCACAAGUGCCUGUAGGAUUUAAUGAGACUGAGUCUGUGGGUCAGAGCGGAAAUGCAUCUCAUCACCCUGGUUUUUUGUUGCCUCCCAUGUCUCAUUGUUUUAAAGCCAGUAGGUUGCAACAGCUCUUCUGGUGACACAGCUGAAGGAAAUAUUUGCAUGAUGGCCCACGCAGGCUGUUGAUAAAAGAAAGUCCUCAAUAAACCAUGCCUUCCAGUAUCCAUGCCCCUGGGUAGUGCCCUUCUCUUAAAUCUGGGCUCGUCCUGUAAUUUAUCUCAACCAGUAAGCUGUGAUGGAAUUUACACUCUGCUGAUUCUGGGCUCUAGCCUUAAGAAGGCCCAGCAGCCUCUGCUUUUGCAUUUUUGGAUGCUCUGAGCUUCUAUGUAAGAGGUCACACUACCUUAAUGGAGACCACUGGAGGGGCAUGUGGAGCGGUCAUAGGGAGGGAGUGACGCCCUGAGACUCUACAUAGAGAGAGAAGUCUGACUGUCUCAGCAUGCCAACGGAGCCCAGCCUGCAGACUCUUUGGACAUUGCAUAUAUAUAAUAACAUCUCGGCAUUGUGACUCAGCCACACUGAUACAUAAAAUUAACCAUCACAUCAUCUAUUGGCAAAAAACUAGUGUUCUUUAAUUUCACCAAGAGGGUCGUGUGUGCUUUUUGGAGAAAGAACCUGACUAGGGAAUGAGAAGACCCGAAUUGUGAUUGAACCACUGCCACAAACUGUAUCAUCAGUGGAUCUGUUCAUUUCUCUGACCGUCUGCCCAGGUUAUGCAGCUAGCAACUGGCAGAGCGGGUGUUUGAACCCAGGGAGUCUAGAUCCAGAGUUACUGCUCUCAACCACCACGCUAAUGCUGAACUGCUAAUUUCAGGCUCUUCUGGGGACCCAAGAAUGGAGGGGACCUGUGGCCUACUUUGCAAGGCAGAGUCCUGGAGUUAGCCCUGUCACACACACAUUGUGCCUUUGUGCCUUGUCCAGGCAGAUGGGCCGGGGACAGACUUGCCAAGGGCUCUGUGUGUCUCCCCUGUCCCUGCCAUGGCACAGAAGUAGCAAAGGGACCAUGACACUCCCCCUUAAUGUGGCUCAGGUGUGGUGCAGGGGCCCAGGGAGGUCACGUGCCCUGCAGCGAGGGUCAGCUCUGCAGCCACCUAGGAGGGGUCGUGACCAAGUGUCAGAAUGGGAAGAUGGCUAUUACAGGAGAUGCUCGCCUUCAAGCCUACAUAUGCCCUGAAUGCCUUGGCACUAAGAAAACCUACUAGAACUCAGACACGACCCCAGGGAAAAUGGGGAAACCUCUAAUUAAUUGAUACUCCGCUCUCUGCAAAAUUGACUUUUUUAAAAAAUUAAUUAAUUAAUUAAUUUUUGGCUGUGUUGGGUCUUCGUUUCUGUGCGAGGGCAUUCUCUAGUUGCGGCAAUUGGGGGUCACUCUUCAUCGUGGUGCGCGGGCCUCUCACUGUCGCGGCCCCUCUUAUCGCGGGGCACAGGCUCCAGACACGCAGGCUCAGUAGUUGUGGCUCACGGGCCUAGUUGCUCCGCGGCAUGUGGGAUCUUCCCGGACCGGGGCACAAACCCGUGUCCCUUGCAUUGGCAGGCAGAUUCUCAACCACUGCGCCACCAGGGAAGCCCCAAAUUGACUUUUUGUACAGAAAUUAAUUUGAACAAUAGAGAAGCUAAGUUAUUCAUACGUAUCUGAGGGUCAAAAACCUUUACACACAGUGCUUUCAAUAAAACUGUGUUAAACAAAAGAUUGACGUUGAGUACUUUGAGUAGAAAUCUGCUUCCUACAAUUUGCAUGCAUUUGUUUUAGCCCCAUCCUUUGAGCCUAAUCUAGAUGGUCGAAUCCCUCUCCUACCAGAUAACUCUUGUUUUUGACAAACCAACCAUUGACAAUCCCAUCAGAGGACUCCUCAUAGGUCACAUUUUUUUUUUAAGAUCAACAUUAUUGAGACAUAAUUGAUGUACAAUAAAAUGCACCCAAUUCAAUAACUUUUGACAAAUGUAUACACCCAUGUAGCCACUACCAGUCAAAAUGCCCAACAUUCCCAUCACCCUCCAAGUUCCCACAUGGCCCUUUGCAGUCAUCCCUCCCCCCAGGACUGGCCCCGAGGCGACUGCUCUUCUGCCUCCUGUCAUUCUAUAUUAGCUUUGCCUUUCUAGGAGUUCUUCUUUAUAAGUGGAAUCAUAUGUCAGCACGUUUUAAGUAUCUAUAAAAUAAAUGGGAAAGCCAGAGAAAUCCCAUCAGGUGGAGUGGGGACCACUGAUGUGAGUCUGCUUGGCCAGUUUGCCUGGCGCUGCCGGGACCAGAGACAACUCACCUCUCAGAGGCAGCAUUACUCGGUUCCUGGUCUCAGGAUCCUUUCCCUGUGGCUCUCUGUCUUCACGACCACUUCCCUUCCCUCGUUCUUGGAGCUGUAUUUCCUUUCUUGGCCCGCAUCUGCUGACUGGGGAAGUAAACAGCCAGUGCAACCCCUGGAGAAGCAUCUUUGCUGAAGCGUUUGCUCAUCUUUGGGGAGAAGCAGACAGGAAGUGUGUGUGCACUCAGCUCUCACCGACAGCCCAGAUAACAUAAACUCCUCGUUUCCUCCAUAGUUGGGUCAGGAUUUGGCCUCUCGGACACAGUGAGGGGACUUUCAGUCUCUCGUUAUCAAACAGCUGGAAGCCCCUCGCUCUCCUGGCACCCGGGGCCAGCUUUCCCUCUCCUGUCAAGAGUUUUGAUUUGUUUUUUAUUUCUUUUUCUUGAUCUUGUUCACCUCCAUACUGAAAAGAGUGUGAGGGAGAGCGAUGGUCUAGUGUUUGAGUCAUUUCCUCCUCUCCCUAAAGCCGUCUGGUUCUUCACCCACGUGAAGAAGAUUUUUUACGGCUGAGGAGGAGUCCAGCUAACCAUUGACAUGUUGUUGUU